AUUGAACGCUGGCGGCAUGCCUUACACAUGCAAGUCGAACGGCAGCACGGGAGCUUGCUCCUGGUGGCGAGUGGCGAACGGGUGAGUAAUACAUCGGAACGUACCCAGGAGUGGGGGAUAACGUAGCGAAAGUUACGCUAAUACCGCAUAUUCUGUGAGCAGGAAAGCGGGGGAUCGCAAGACCUCGCGCUCUUGGAGCGGCCGAUGUCGGAUUAGCUAGUUGGUGAGGUAAAAGCUCACCAAGGCGACGAUCCGUAGCAGGUCUGAGAGGAUGAUCUGCCACACUGGGACUGCGACACGGCCCAGACUCCUACGGGAGGCAGCAGUGGGGAAUUUUGGACAAUGGGGGUAACCCUGAUCCAGCCAUGCCGCGUGAGUGAAGAAGGCCUUCGGGUUGUAAAGCUCUUUCGGCGGGGAAGAAAUGGCAACGGCUAAUAUCCGUUGUUGAUGACGGUACCCGCAUAAGAAGCACCGGCUAACUACGUGCCAGCAGCCGCAGUAACAC
rnacentral:rRNA from 1 species